rnacentral:rRNA from 1 species
GGGUGGACACUUCAAACUCUUGCGUAACUUUGCAGUCUGAGUAAACUUAAUCAAUAAAUUAAAACUUUUAACAACGGAUCUCUUGGUUCUGGCAUCGAUGAAGAACGCAGCGAAAUGCGAUAAGUAAUGUGAAUUGCAGAAUUCAGUGAAUCAUCGAA